rnacentral:rRNA from 1 species
AAACUGGAGAGUUUGAUCCUGGCUCAGAACGAACGCUGGCGGCGUGCUUAACACAUGCAAGUCGAACGCGAAAGGGACUUCGGUCCUGAGUAGAGUGGCGCACGGGUGAGUAACGCGUAAGUGAUCUACCCCUGUAUCUGG